UACGUAGGUGGCAAGCGUUACUCGGAAUCACUAGGCGUAAAGCGCAGGUAGGCGGUUCGGUAAGUCUUUUUGUGAAAGCUCCCGGCUUAACUGGGAGAGGUCAAAGGAAACUACCGGGCUAGAGUGUGGUAGGGGAAACUGGAAUUCCUGGUGUAGCGGUGAAAAUGCGUAGAUAUCAGGAAGAACACCCUGGCUAAGGCGGCUCUCUAGUAACGGGUAC
rnacentral:rRNA from 1 species